rnacentral:lncRNA from 1 species
UGAAAAUAGAAAGUGAGAGCGAAAUAAAACAUGGAUAUAUACGCAAAAAGUCAUGACAUGUUCCAAACUCGGACCAUACAUGUCAUACAUGGCAAUGUCUAAAUGUCACCCCCCUUUUUUGUGAAGAGUUUUUUCAAGCUUUUUUGGGCAUACAAACGUAAUUAAGGGGACAGAAAAUUUCAAUAUACAAUGUAGAUAUAACUUUGAGAACAGUUGUGCACCCAUCA